rnacentral:rRNA from 1 species
GACAGAGGGUGCAAACGUUGUUCGGAAUUACUGGGCGUAAAGCGUGUGUAGGCGGCCGCGCAAGUCGGAUGUGAAAGCCCCGGGCUCAACCCGGGAAGUGCACCCGAUACUGCAUGGCUCGAGUACUGGAGAGGUUGGUGGAAUUCUCGGUGUAGAGGUGAAAUGCGUAGAUAUCAGGAGGAACACCGGUGGCGAAGGCGGUUCUCUGGGCCUUACCUGACGCUGAGGAGCGAAAGCAUGGGGAGCGAACAGG